rnacentral:rRNA from 1 species
AGAGUUUGAUCCUGGCUCAGGAUGAACGCUAGCGACAGGCUUAACACAUGCAAGUCGAGGGGCAGCAUUAAGGUAGCUUGCUACUUUAGAUGGCGACCGGCGCACGGGUGCGUAACACGUAUGCAACCUGCCCGUCAUUGUGGAAUAACCCGGAGAAAUCCGGCCUAAUACCGCAUGAUACUGAGAAGAGGCAUCUCUUUUCAUUUAAAGAAUUUCGAUGACGGAUGGGCAUGCGGAUGAUUAGCUAGUCGGCGGGGUAACGGCCCACCGAGGCGACGAUCAUUAGGGGUUCUGAGAGGAAGGUCCCCCACACUGGUACUGAGACACGGACCAGACUCCUACGGGAGGCAGCAGUGAGGAAUAUUGGUCAAUGGGCGCAAGCCUGAACCAGCCAAGUCGCGUGAAGGAAGACUGCCCUAUGGGUUGUAAACUUCUUUCGCAUGGGAAUAAAGUGAGCCACGUGUGGCUUUUUGUAUGUACCAUGCGAAUAAGCAUCGGCUAACUCCGUGCCAGCAGCCGCGGUAAUACGGAGGAUGCGAGCGUUAUCCGGAUUUAUUGGGUUUAAAGGGUGCGUAGGCGGAACGCCAAGUCAGCGGUGAAACGCAGGGGCUCAACCCCUGACCUGCCGUUGAAACUGGCGAUCUGGAAUGCGGAUGCUGUGGGAGGAAUGUGUGGUGUAGCGGUGAAAUGCAUAGAUAUCACACAGAACACCGAUUGCGAAGGCAUCUCACAAAUCCGUUAUUGACGCUGAGGCACGAAAGUGUGGGGAUCAAACAGGAUUAGAUACCCUGGUAGUCCACACUGUAAACGAUGAUAACUCGCUGUCGGCGAUAUACAGUCGGUGGCCAAGCGAAAGCGAUAAGUUAUCCACCUGGGGAGUACGACCGCAAGGUUGAAACUCAAAGGAAUUGACGGGGGCCCGCACAAGCGGAGGAACAUGUGGUUUAAUUCGAUGAUACGCGAGGAACCUUACCCGGGCUCGAACGGCUGGUGAAGAGAUACAGAGAUGUUGACGUCCUACGGGACACCAGUCGAGGUGCUGCAUGGUUGUCGUCAGCUCGUGCCGUGAGGUGUCGGCUUAAGUGCCAUAACGAGCGCAACCCUUGUCGUCAGUUACCAUCAAGUGAAGUUGGGGACUCUGGCGAGACUGCCACCGUAAGGUGAGAGGAAGGGGGGGAUGACGUCAAAUCAGCACGGCCCUUACGUCCGGGGCGACACACGUGUUACAAUGGUGGGUACAGAGGGCAGCUACCUGGCGACAGGGUGCAAAUCCCGAAAACCCAUCUCAGUUCGGAUUGGAGUCUGCAACUCGACUCCAUGAAGUUGGAUUCGCUAGUAAUCGCGCAUCAGCCAUGGCGCGGUGAAUACGUUCCCGGGCCUUGCACACACCGCCCGUCA